CUCGUCUGCCAUUGGUCUGUUGCUCUUGGGGGCGUGGAUGCUCUCGCAUAAAUAGGCUUGCAGGCAGGGCAUUCCUUAAGUGAGUCCUCAGAGUUGAUCCGUGCCUCUCCGUAAUAUACUGUUUCUUGUCAAAGUUUAGUGUGCUUGUGAUCCGGCGAAAUGCGUCUCUUUCUGGUAGUGUUCCUGGUCUUUGCGGUUCUUCUGGGACAUCUGUCCGAAGGGGAAACGGUAGGCGGCAAACUAAAAAUCCCAAGACGAAGACCAAGACCAACACAGUGCUGUCCUCCAAAUUGCCCUUGCUGUGAUCCAUUCAACCCUUGUACAUGCUUCGCCCCGUGUCCACCGGAUUAUUAGACUGCUGUCCAGUGACGUCAUUAGCCGUAUAUGGAAGAUCCUUCUUGAGCUGAUUUUGAAACUGUCAAUGUAAACAAGAUGUCUGUUUGUCGAAUAAUUAAAAGACUUAACACUUGAA